GACGAACGCUGGCGGCGUGCUUAACACAUGCAAGUCGAGCGGUAAGGCCCUUUCGGGGGUACACGAGCGGCGAACGGGUGAGUAACACGUGGGUGACCUGCCCUCAGCUCUGGGAUAAGCCUGGGAAACCGGGUCUAAUACCGGAUAUGACUCCAUGACGCAUGUUGGUGGGGUGGAAAGCCUUGUGCGGCUGAGGAUGGGCCCGCGGCCUAUCAGCUUGUUGGUGGGGUGAUGGCCUACCAAGGCGACGACGGGUAGCCGGCCUGAGAGGGCGACCGGCCACACUGGGACUGAGACACGGCCCAGACUCCUAC
rnacentral:rRNA from 1 species